rnacentral:rRNA from 1 species
AACGUAGGUGGCGAGCGUUAUCCGGAUUUACUGGGCGUAAAGGGUGUGCAGGCUGCCCGUCAAGUGGUGUAUGAAAAGUGCCCGGCUCAACCGGCUUGGUUAUGCCAGACUGACGGGCUAGAGAGCGAGAGCGGGACGUGGAAUUCCUGGUGUAGCGGUGAAAUGCGUAGAUAUCAGGAGGAACGACCGGUGGCGAAGGCGGCUCCUCGUGGACGGUGACUGACGCGA